AAAUUAAAUUAUGUGUUUUUUUUUUAUUUGUGGUCACAGUACACAGUGAAUUCAGGUUUAAAUCAUUUUAGGUAUUAUGGUGCUCACAAAAUGAAGAAGGGUAUCAGCUAAUUCUUGUUUGUGGUAAAGACUACCCCUUUUAUCCCUUUUAUGUCUGUGCCUUCGGUGAGUUAAUUUUUUUUAGUAUGCAUGUAUAUCCCUUUGGUAAUUGCAGUAUAUUGGGAUUUGAGAUUUCCACUUCCUCUUGCUUCACAUUUAAAAUUUUCAACCUGCUAAGUGAAUUUGUGGACCAAAUUUAAAGGAACUUUAUGUGUAGCUGGCUCUUGCUCAAGGUGUUUAGUAAACAUACUCAUAAAAUGGACUCCUAGCAAUGCUCUGUUUAUCAGAUGACUGACCAUUUCCUGUUGAAAGUUAAAACUUAGAGACUGAUUUACUACAGCUUGUGCAACGUUGUAUGAUAGUGCAUAGUCUUUGCUUCCAAGGUUUGAGUCAGGGCACGGGGCUUCAGAGCCUGGGCAGGAUUGUCAGCUUUCUUCUGACAUAGUCUGUGGGGCAAGGGUCACAAGUAGUGACUUGUAUUCCUGUGCUCUGUGACACAGGACUGACUAGUCAUCAUAAAGUGAUGUAACAAGAGUUCCUACCAGUAGACCCUUGACAUGCAUUCACUAGUUUAUGGUAAUUUGAUUCAGUUCUUGUUUUAGUAAUAGUUAAAAAGUUUUUUUGUUUUGUUUUCUUAGACUAAAUAUAGAGUUAGAGUAAAUUAGAUAAAGCAAUCUAAUGGUUAAAAUUCCCAUUUGUAUUUUAUUUUCUGGAAUAUGUUUUUCAUGGUUACUUGUUUUAAAAGAUUUUAAAAAUCAUUGCACUUUGGUCAGAAAAAAUAAUAAAUAUAUCUUAUAAAUGUUUGAUUCCCUUACUGCUUGCUUUUUCAAUAAAGUUUGAAGUCC
rnacentral:lncRNA from 1 species